rnacentral:rRNA from 1 species
GACGAACGCUGGCGGCGUGCUUAACACAUGCAAGUCGAACGGAAAGGCCCUGCUUUCCGGGUACUCGAGUGGCGAACGGGCGAGUAACACAUGGGUGAUCUGCCCUGCACUUCGGGAUAAGCUUGGUCAACUGGGUCUAAUACCUGAUAGGAGCCAUCUUUAGUGUGGUGGUUGGAUAGUUUUUUCGGUGUAGGAUGAGCUCGCGGCCUUUCAGCUUGUUGGUGGGGAAAUGGCCUACCAAGGCGGCGACGGGUAGCCGGCCUGAGAGGGUGUACGGCCACAUCGGGACUGGGAUACGGCCCAGACUCCGACGGGAGGCAGCAGUGGGGAAUAUUGCACAAUGGGCGCAAGCCUGAUGCAGCGACGCCGCGUGGGGGAUGAAGGCCUUCGGGUUGUAAACUCCUAUCGCUAGGGAAGAAGCUUUGUUGUGACGGUACCUAGAUAAGAAGCCCCGGCUAACUACGUG